GCCUGGAUGGCUCAGCGGUUGAGCGUCUGCCUUUGGCUCAGGGCAUGAUCCCAGAUCCUGGGAUUGAGUCCCACUUCGGGCU
rnacentral:tRNA from 1 species